UGCCCUUGUACUUAUGUAAAAAUGAGUAGGGCUUGCAGGUGAAGUGAAUAUUGUCUGCAGGACAGAAUCCAGAGUCGGUCCUAAAAUCCCUCGAUUUGACAGUUAAAAUUCCAUGCCGCCUCUGGCACUU